rnacentral:rRNA from 1 species
UACGAAGGGGCUAGCGUUGCUCGGAAUCACUGGGCGUAAAGGGUGCGUAGGCGGGUUUUUAAGUCAGAGGUGAAAUCCUGGAGCUCAACUCCAGAACUGCCUUUGAUACUGAAGAUCUUGAGUUCGGGAGAGGUGAGUGGAACUGCGAGUGUAGAGGUGAAAUUCGUAGAUAUUCGCAAGAACACCAGUGGCGAAGGCGGCUCACUGGCCCGAUACUGACGCUGAGGCACGAAAGCGUGGGAGCAAACAGGG